rnacentral:rRNA from 1 species
ACGAACGCUGGCGGCAGGCCUAACACAUGCCAGUCGAGCGCCCCGCAAGGGGAGCGGCGGACGGGUGAGUAACGCGUGGGAAUAUGCCCUUUGCUACGGAAUAGUCUCGGGAAACUGGGGGUAAUACCGUAUACGCCCUUUGGGGGAAAGAUUUAUCGGCGAAGGAUUAGCCCGCGUUGGAUUAGGUAGUUGGUGGGGUAAUGGCCUACCAAGCCGACGAUCCAUAGCUGGUUUGAGAGGAUGAUCAGCCACACUGGGACUGAGACACGGCCCAGACUCCUACGGGAGGCAGCAGUGGGGAAUCUUAGACAAUGGGGGCAACCCUGAUCUAGCCAUGCCGCGUGAGUGAUGAAGGCCUUAGGGUUGUAAAGCUCUUUCAGCUGGGAAGAUAAUGACGGUACCAGCAGAAGAAGCCCCGGCUAACUCCGUG